rnacentral:sRNA from 1 species
GGGUGACUAAUCUGGUAUCGUUCCAUGCGGCGGAAAUUUAAUUAAACACUGGAUUACGGUA